AAUUGACGGGACCCGCACAAGCGGUGGAUGAUGUGGAUUAAUCGAUGCAACGCGAAAACCUUACCUACCCUUGACAUGUCUGGAACCUUGGUGAGAGCCGAGGGUGCCUUCGGGAGCCAGAACACAGGUGCUGCAUGGCUGUCGUCAGCUCGUGUCGUGAGAUGUUGGGUUAAGUCCCGCAACGAGCGCAACCCUUGUCACUAGUUGCCAUCAUUUGGUUGGGCACUCUAGUGAGACUGCCGGUGUCAAACCGGAGGAAGGUGGGGAUGACGUCAAGUCCCCAUGGCCUUUAUGACCAGGGCUACACACGUACUACAAUGGCCGGUACAAAGGGCAGCGACACAGCGAUGUGAAGCCAAUCCCGAAAAGCCGGUCUCAGUCCGGAUUGGAGUCUGCAACUCGACUCCAUGAAGUUGGAAUCGCUAGUAAUCGCGGAUCAGCACGCCGCGGUGAAUACGUUCCCGGGCCUU
rnacentral:rRNA from 1 species